rnacentral:rRNA from 1 species
GACGAACGCUGGCGGCGUGCUUAACACAUGCAAGUCGAACGGAAAGGCCCUGCUUUUGUGGGGUGCUCGAGUGGCGAACGGGUGAGUAACACGUGAGUAACCUGCCCUUGACUUUGGGAUAACUUCAGGAAACUGGGGCUAAUACCGGAUAGGAGCUCCUGCUGCAUGGUGGGGGUUGGAAAGUUUCGGCGGUUGGGGAUGGACUCGCGGCUUAUCAGCUUGUUGGUGGGGUAGUGGCUUACCAAGGCUUUGACGGGUAGCCGGCCUGAGAGGGUGACCGGCCACAUUGGGUCUGAGAUACGGCCCAGACUCCUACGGGAGGCAGCAGUGGGGAAUAUUGCACAAUGGGCGGAAGCCUGAUGCAGCAACGCCGCGUGCGGGAUGACGGCCUUCGGGUUGUAAACCGCUUUCGCCUGUGACGAAGCGUUAGUGACGGUAAUGGGUAAAGAAGCACCGGCUAACUACGUG